UUCCUUUUGUUACUUCCAAGCAGUCCACUGAAACUCAUCUCGUGUGGUGGUGGAGGUUUCUUCGUUGUCAAGCUUCGGGUCUCAGAACGCUGCUCCAAAGAAGGUAACUUCGCCUUCUCUUACGUUCUGUUUUCGAUACGGUGUGCUAUGUGUUCGAUACUUGGUAUGGAGUUUGUUAUUAAGAACGUUUGGUUCCUUCGCUUUUAAUUCUUUGCUUUAGUACCAUUUUCCUGUGAAUUUUUUAAGCAGUAAGCAUGAUUCAAACAUCAAUGAAGUCACUUUAGUAUUAUAUGUUGGUCGGGAUAUUCAUUAGCUCGAUUUUGUAUCUAUGAAGCUAGUUGAUUCGCUACUUGAUGUUGCUCGAAAUGGCUUAAAACUCACUUGGUUUCGACUACGAGUGUACCGGUUGGGUCGUUUUGGAUCAUUCGCUGUUUGAUUUAGCUUUCAUUAGUGUGAUGAGAAUGUGACCACAAUCUUGGUCAUUUGCUUUGGUGUUUUUUCUAUUGUGAAGGUUUCUUGCUAAUACUAGUUUGAAUUCGCGUAGUAGAUAUAUCUACUCUCUGUUUUCGAUCAGCUUGAGUGGUAUAUGUCUCUUUGGAUUUCAACUCAUGGUGGGAUGCUUGUAACUCUACCAUCGUAAUGUGACGAUCUAACUAAGGUUACUCUUAUUUUCUAGUGAAUAGCCCUCACCAUCUUUGUCUAAAAUCUAAAAAUAUCCUUUCUGAAUUUUUAACUUGCUGUUCGCCUUAGUUUUACUUAAGUGUUAAUGUUCAACAGUGCUAUGGACAUUGUUUUAUAUUAUGCCAUUAUUUAACAUGUUUGCUUAUAUUGCCCACUUUAGUUAUUUGAUUGUAGUUAUCUUCUUCCUUUGCUUAUAGUGAGUUAAUUGGCUACUGUCUUAAAUUUUGUCUCUUUAGUAUAACAAAGCCGGUAGUUUUAAAAUCCUCAUAGAUAUAUCUAGUGUCAUUUAUUAUAUGAGGUAAUUUUAGUCAAAUGUGCAACAUGUUUCUUUCUGCAUUUUUUGAGUUGUGUUAGUUAUUGCUCGUAAAUUUUAUUGUCACAUAUGUACACGAGCACAUGCCUCUCCUUGGAAUUUCCUUGUGUAUGAUUUCUCAUUUGUUUACUAUUAGUUUUUGUAGCCUCCUAUCUUGUAUUGAAGUUUAUGAUAUUUGGGUCCCAAUUUGGUUUUAUAGUUGACUUGGGUGACAUUUUUAGCUCAAAAUAUCUGAGUUGCUUUCAUUCUAAUUAAAUUAUGUCCUAAUUUCUUACUUAUUUCGCAUACUAAUUUGGCUCUUUUCUUUGUCGCAUAAACCCGUCCCGAGUCCAUGGUGGACUUAUCUACCUUGCAUUUCGGAGUUGAGUCAUAAAAGCUCGAUCUUUGCUUUCUUUAUUUCUUGAGUCAACCCCCUACAUAUUCGGAAGUUGUUACAGGUCCCGGAGAUCCAACAUACUGCUGGAAAUUAGUUCGAAAGCCUAUAAAGUGGGCUGUAUACAUACUGUAUACAACAUUAUACGCUGAUAUACAAGCUCAAUAUAACAAAUAUGUAUAUGUGGCCAAAAAUGGAGAUACAGGUUGGAGGUGUCAAAGCAAACUGCAUACAGUUGGUAUAUGGGUUGAUAUACAGGAAAAAGGGCCUAUGCACACGCUGAUAUACACUGAUAUACAUCAGCCGUAUACCAAAAACGGGAUUGGGUUAAACCCAAAAAUUCCAACAAAUUUGGCCCAAAAAGGAGGCCCAAAUUCAAUUUCUCUCUUACUCUUUAAUUAAUUAAUUGUGAUUAUUUAUUGUUUGUUAUUUAACUCUAACUUUAUAAUUUUUAAUUAACUUAAUUAGAUUCCUCAAAAGAUA
rnacentral:lncRNA from 1 species